UGGGGGCUCCUCGUCAGGAUGGCUGACUUCCACCCACCUGCUCACCCACCCUAGAGCAAAGCGACCAACUCCGCUCCUGCAUGCAGACUUGCCACUCAUUCUUUCCAUUGCCUCAUCUUUUAGUAUAAAUGGGUGGCAAAAAAAGAAAAAAACAGCAUUUGUGGAAAGCCUGAAAUAUAACCCAAAUCGUCUAAGAUAGAAUGAAAAAUUGACUCUCAAGGAAAUAUUUGAAGGAACAGAAUACAGCUUAAAAAUUUGAAAAUCCUUAAAAAUAUCUGAGAAGUUUUUGCAUCCGUAAAACAGAAAACAGCACGAACUUUAGGAAAUGACAAUGGGCACAGAAUGCAAUAAAAAAAAAAAACGGGGAAAGGUAACUAAAAACUUAAGGAAAGAUAAACUGAACAAGAAUGGCUCAGACAGCAGGCAAAUCUCCCCAAUUAGAAACGAAGUGAAUAGACCCAAUUGAAUGAGAUGAAUUCUAAGCAAUAGAUGGAUUGAAUAAUAAGCUGGAGGACAUUAAUAACAUGUUCUGGAAGGCAUACAUUUCUUCAACCCAAAGGAAAAAAAAUGACAGAAAGAAACUACAGGGAAGAACAUUAAAAACUGUGCAAGAAACUUAUGUUUCACAUAUGAAGCAACCUCAGAUGUGGCAUGGUUUUGAACAGUUGCCGAAAGUGUGAGAAAGGGAAUCUGUUUGAAUAUUGGCACAUGGAUCAAGACUCUGGAGUCGGUGAUGAGAAAAUCCAAUCAGAGCAUUCCACUUUGCUAUUCAUUGAACCAGGUAGCCAACAGAAGAGUUAAAAAUUAGUGAUAUGACUAUAUUCAGGGGGAAGGAGAGCUGAGGGGGGCGGCAGGAAGUCAGCAGAAAAUGCCUCAUGUCAUUAAGUCAAGAAAUAGUAAUAAAGGCAUGUUAUUGAAAAAGGGGGUGUAAUCUCUAAACAAGCACGUGUAGAAGUUUGUGUUUCUGAUUUGGGGAAGCAAGAGUUGAGAAGGAGGGACAGUUCUAUUACUUUUCAUUAUAUGUCCUUUUUCUACUGUUUGAUUUUUAAAAACUAUACACAUGUAUUGCUUUUGCUUCGAUUAAAAAUCAAGACAUUAAAAUGAA
rnacentral:lncRNA from 1 species